AUGUCAGUUUCGUUAUUACAACCUUAUUUUUUUAUGUCAAAGACAAAAAGCUAUGCGCAAAUUCUCAUUGGAUCUCGGUUGUUCUUAACAGUGAUGGCUAUUCAUUUAAGUCUUCAGGUAGCACCACCAGAUCUUCAACAAGGUGGAAAUUCUUGUAUUUCAUAUGUACAUGUUCCUGCGGCUCGGAUGAGUAUAGUUAUUUAUAUCGCGACAUCUAUAAAUAGUUCCUUGUUCCCAUUAACAAAACAUCCCCUUUUUCUUUGCUCUUCCGGAACCGGUAUAGAAAUUGGUGCUUUUUCUACUUUGUUUACGUUAGUGACUGGGGGUUUCGGAAGGCCUAUGUGGGGUACCUUUCGGGUGUGGGAUGCUUGUUUAACUUCUAUAUUCAUCUUGUUCCUUAUUUACCUGGGUGCAUUGCGUUUUCAAAAGCUUCUUGUCGAACCGGCUCCUAUUUCAAUCUGUGCUGGGCCGAUCGAUAUACCAAUAAUAAAGUCUCCAGUCAAUUGGUGGAAUACAUCGCAUCAACCUGGGAGCAUUAGCUGA
rnacentral:rRNA from 1 species